rnacentral:rRNA from 1 species
GCAGCCUGAUGCAGCGACGCCGCGUGAGGGACGACGGCCUCCGGGUUGUAAACCUCUUUCAGCACAGACGAAGCGCAAGUGACGGUAUGUGCAGAAGAAGGACCGGCCAACUACGUGCCAGCAGCCGCGGUAAUACGUAGGGUCCGAGCGUUGUCCGGAAUUACUGGGCGUAAAGAGCUCGUAGGUGGUUUGUCGCGUUGUUCGUGAAAACUCACAGCUCAACUGUGGGCGUGCGGGCGAUACGGGCAGACUAGAGUACUGCAGGGGAGACUGGAAUUCCUGGUGUAGCGGUGGAAUGCGCAGAUAUCAGGAGGAACACCGGUGGCGAAGGCGGGUCUCUGGGCAGUAACUGACGCUGAGGAGCGAAAGCGUGGGGAGCGAACAGGAUUAGAUACCCUGGUAGUCCACGCCGUAAACGGUGGGUACUAGGUGUGGGUUUCCUUCCUUGGGAUCCGUGCCGUAGCUAACGCAUUAAGUACCCCGCCUGGGGAGUACGGCCGCAAGGCUAAAACUCAAAGAAAUUGACGGGGGCCCGCACAAGCGGCGGAGCAUGUGGAUUAAUUCGAUGCAACGCGAAGAACCUUACCUGGGUUUGACAUGCACAGGACGCUGGUAGAGAUAUCAGUUCCCUUGUG